UACGGAGGGGGUUAGCGUUGUUCGGAAUUACUGGGCGUAAAGCGCACGUAGGCGGACUGGAAAGUUAGAGGUGAAAUCCCGGGGCUCAACCCCGGAACUGCCUUUAAAACUAUCAGUCUAGAGUUCGAGAGAGGUGAGUGGAAUUCCGAGUGUAGAGGUGAAAUUCGUAGAUAUUCGGAGGAACACCAGUGGCGAAGGCGGCUCACUGGCUCGAUACUGACGCUGAGGUGCGAAAGUGUGGGGAGCAAACAGG
rnacentral:rRNA from 1 species